rnacentral:rRNA from 1 species
UGGGGAAUAUUGGACAAUGGGCGCAAGCCUGAUCCAGCAAUGCCGCGUGGGUGAAGAAGGUCUUCGGAUUGUAAAGCCCUUUCGGCGGGGACGAUGAUGACGGUACCCGCAGAAGAAGCCCCGGCCAACUUCGUGCCAGCAGCCGCGGUAAUACGAAGGGGGCUAGCGUUGCUCGGAAUCACUGGGCGUAAAGGGCGCGUAGGCGGCCGCGUCAGUCGGGCGUGAAAUCCCCGGGCUCAACCCGGGGGCUGCGCCCGAGACGGCGGGGCUGGAGGACGGGAGAGGCUCGCGGAAUUCCCAGUGUAGAGGUGAAAUUCGUAGAUAUUGGGAAGAACACCGGUGGCGAAGGCGGCGAGCUGGCCCGUUUCUGACGCUGAGGCGCGACAGCGUGGGGAGCAAACAGG